rnacentral:lncRNA from 1 species
AGCCUGACAGAGCCACCUACUCGUCACCGUGCUUCUUUGCCGCUUCACUGCACGCAGUAAUAAAUCCCAGCCAAAGACAAUAUUAGUCGAUUCAAUUCGAAGUCAAAAGGGCAAUAACUCUCACCGUGGCCCACUUUAUCGCAAAUAAAACAAAAUAAACUUCUCAUAUUGAAAAUAGGCAUAAACAGUUAUGUCAUUCCCAAUCUGAAUCUUUUUUCUUUCGUUUCAACAGAGUAGAAACAUCUAAAUGAACAUGAAUACGCAUAAACUUCUAGAAACCAAAAUUUAGAAUAGCAAAAUCGUAUUUUAAAAAUUUCCCCAAAAAAUCACCAAAUUAUUUUACCAUGGUUUCAAACAUCAAUCCUGGAGGCAGAUAAUGAACUUGGGCCCAAAAUUCAAUAAAGUUUAAUAAAAUGGAUGACAGAUUCUCUCCUUUUUGGACUGAUUAUAAAAUAAGCAAAUGGUUAUUAAAAAAACCAGGGUGUUCCCGAAAGAACCCUUUGCACAUCAACCUCAUGGAAAAAUUGAAAAAGAUACCUUUUGUCUCCAAGAUCUAUAAUACUUAUUCCUCCUAUUGAAUGCCACAAAUCAGCUAUUAUGUUACGUAAAGAAAGGAAAUUGACAACACUAUUAGUGAGACAACGACCCACCAAACAAAAUUGAUAGUUUCGGUCCACUAUCGCAACAUCCUCUUGGAACGCCUCUUCUUCUUCAUCCAACAGUUUCAGAUUGCCUAAUUCAUUCUCCAUAUCAAAACACACUUAAGCAGAAAUCGACAAAUAGAAGGAUAAAAACAGAAAGAUACGUUUGACAAAGAGAAGAAAAGAAAAAGAAAAAGUGGGAG